rnacentral:rRNA from 1 species
GUCGAACGGACUCAUAUUGAAACCUAGUGAUGUAUGAGUUAGUGGCGGACCGGUGAGUAACGCGUGGAGAACCUGCCGUAUACGGGGGGAUAACACUUAGAAAUAGGUGCUAAUACCGCAUAAGCGCACAGCUUCGCAUGAAGCAGUGUGAAAAACUCCGGUGGUAUACGAUGGAUCCGCGUCUGAUUAGCUUGUUGGCGGGGUAAAGGCCCACCAAGGCGACGAUCAGUAGCCGGCCUGAGAGGGUGAACGGCCACAUUGGGACUGAGACACGGCCCAAACUCCUACGGGAGGCAGCAGUGGGGAAUAUUGCACAAUGGGGGAAACCCUGAUGCAGCGACGCCGCGUGAGUGAAGAAGUAUUUCGGUACGUAAAGCUCUAUCAGCAGGGAAGAAAAUGACGGUACCUGACUAAGAAGCCCCGGCUAACUACGUGCCAGCAGCCGCGGUAAUACGUAGGGGGCAAGCGUUAUCCGGAUUUACUGGGUGUAAAGGGAGCGUAGACGGCAGCGCAAGUCUGGAGUGAAAUCCCAUGGCUUAACCAUGGAACUGCUUUGGAAACUGUGCAGCUGGAGUGCGGGAGAGGUAA